GGGUAUAGCUCAAGUGGUAGAGUGCAUGCCUAGCAUGCACGAGGUCCUGGGUUCAAUCCCCAGUACUGCCU
rnacentral:tRNA from 1 species